rnacentral:lncRNA from 1 species
GACACACGCACACGCACAUAGGAGGAGAAAGAGAGCCAGAGCCAGAGAUGAAGACAAGGGAGGGAAGGGAAAAAAGACUUUUCUUUUUUUUCUUUCUAGAGGAAUUCUGCCCAGACUCUCCAGCAGUUGGUAGCAGGCAAGCUUUCUCCUGUGUCGCCUGGAAAAGUUGCAAAAUUGCUCUUCACCUGUAAGAACAUGCAUUUUAUCUUCCAGUCUCUUCUUGUCAAUUUGGAAAUUGCAGACACCCCGGCUCAGGAGAAAUGGCUCUGUGCAUUGGUUUUCCUGGCUGACCCUGAGAAUAAGCAACUCUGUCCGCUUGUUGUCUGAAGUUGUUUGAAGAUGAUUAGAGGAGAAAUAACACCAAAGCCCUGAGCAAUGCUUUGCAGACGUCUAGGGGCUCAGGAUGUGUGAUGUAGCCCAGUUCUAUUUGUUGACAUCCAGCUUUUGAAAGCAUCAGCCUUUGAGAGUGGAACAAUAUUGGAGCUAUGGAGUCACCUUUACCUGGAAAUAUCGAAGGAAAAGUUUUUGAGGAUUGGAAGCUGGCAUGCGCUGCAUUCUCUGAAUUCAGAUCCAGAUCAGGAACCAGAACAAUGAACAGUGCCAGUCUUCCACCACAGCAAUGUGCUCAUCAGGAAAACAGAGGGCUCUCCCAGGCCCUGCUCUGUGGACUACGUCGUACAUGAUUCUGUUAUUAUUUACAAAUGAGAAUGCUUUAUUUACCCUGUACGACACCCAAAUUUAUUCUUUUAUCACCUGGUAUUAAAUGCGAACAAAAGUAGAAUUCUGUCCUCCGGAUUUGGGUUUGAGACCGAGUUUGCAUGAAAAUUAAAAGAUUCAAUGAAC